AAAAAAAAAAAAAAAGUUCACUGUGAUGGUUGCGGCUGGUAUUGCACGGGGCCUCACCCUCCAGAGAGCAGUGUCCGCUGAACUGGGCUUUCCAAGGGGAGCAGCGCCAUCAGGGCUGGAGUAGUGCGGAAGGCCUGUUGGCGGGAGGAGGAGGGUGUGGCAGUGAUGCGGGCCUGUGUGAGGGGAUAGACGGGGGAGCAGGAGAAGUGAGCGUGGGGGGAAAGGGGCAUUUGGUUGAAGAGCCUGGAUCUGAGGGACCCUCAGAGACGGCGCAGGCCCAAACCCAUUUCGAGAGCAAUGCCAGGCCAUGAGGUCCAAGGUGCCACUUGAAUGACCUCAGUGUGAGCUGACAGAGGCGGCAGCAGCAGGAGAACCACGGCCACUGAGAACUGCUCAUGGUUUCCAGGAAACUUCCUGUGUGUGGAGGAGGGGCGCUCUUCCUGCGUGGGCCAGCUGGGCCUGAGAGAGGAGACCCUGCUGGGGGGCCCGGCCCCCGCUGCCCUCUCGGGCUGAGGCCAAGCUCUCGGGGGCCACUGGGGGAGUCAGAGCCUGAUGCCGGCAGACUGGCUGAGGCACAUUUGGGGGCCUCUGUCUCCCCUCCCACAACCUGCCUGGACAAAUUGCCUGGCCUUCUAACAGAGAUCAACCUGCCCCCCAUGAGGUGUGGGUGCGGGAGGAGCAGCUAGGUUGGGAGGUGGCAGCCCUGCGUCCCCAUCCCACAGUCUUGGAUUCAAAUCCAAGGACUUCUACUAGCCCAGCUUCGCCAGCCUUGAUUCCUUCAUCCUAAUUUGGGAGCUCUCCAAGGUUCCACCCAGCUGGACCAUUCAGGCAGUUCCUUGGUGUUCCUCCCCAGAGUUGGGAGAAACGGAGGCCCAGGAGCAAAGGGCCAGAGCCAGCCCAGGUGGGGGUCGCCCUGGAGCUCCUGCUUUGACCGCCUGCACCCUUCCCCCAUUGCUCCAGUGUCUUGCUUCCUCGCCCCAAUCUUCUUGUUUCUCGACACCUCUUUCCCCUCUGCCCAUGCUCCUCACCUGCCACCCCAGGGGUGGGUGGGUCACAAGUCAGAACCAGGAUGAGAACUCCCGGGGCCAUCCGCCAUCCGAGUGUACUCACUGGGAUGACCUCCUCUACCCACCUCCCAUCUGAAUCCUGCACAUACUUCAAUCCAGCUCAAACGGCACCUCCACCAGGAGGCCCCUCCAGAUCACCCCCGCCAGAGUCAUCACCUUACCAAGCCUUCCCCAUGCAUGCCACUUUACAAUACUGCCACUGGCAUUUUUACUUCCUUGCACUAUAAUUAUCUGUGCAUGCACCAUCGCUCCUUUACACAAUUCCGAACUCCUUGAACUUGGCAACCAAACUGCCCUCAUUUUGCCCACGCCUAUCAGCAGCCUCCCCUUUGACAUCUGAUGCGGUGUUUGUAUACCGAGUGUUGGAGAGAUAUAUUUGUGGAAUAAACAGAGUCCUCUUUAUGCGGAAGGAUUCUUUCAGAAUGAACGGUCAGGUGUGUAAGAGCAUCUGUCCUAGAACCACACUGGGUUGAAUCUUAGCUCCACCCUCUGCACACCAAGGGACCUUGGACAAGUUACGAACACCUGUGCCUCGGUUUCCCCACUUGUGAAAGGAAAAUAUUCAUAGUCCCCCUGCUUCAUAGGGUGGCUCUGAAGAUUUAAUGAGUCAUGGAUGUCAAGUAUUUUGAGGUCGUGCCCAGCACAGACUUGAUUCAGUAAGUGAAGCUGUUAGAUGUUUGCAAUCCUACAUACAAAUUCUUACUUGAUUUUUUUUUUUUUUUGAAAAAAAAAAAUACUGCGCCACCUUGCAAAUUCGAGUUCGGCUUUAGGUAGUGGCCAAAUCCUUUCCAAUUCCUGCAUUCACUGAAUCUGCAUCGGGUCCUCACUGCCAGCUGCAGUACCUCCCCGGCUGCACUAACUCGAAGCAGAGGGAAGGGAGAGUCAGGGCGCAUUGCUGGCGUAAGUGCUCACCGGCUUGGGGCUCGUGGCCACAUUAAGCACUCUUACUCAAUUCAUGUGACUCGACAAAUUUGGAAUGUGUUAGGGAGAGAGAGUUUUUCCAGCUAUGAGUCAGUAUAUUUAUGCUCUCUCACACACACAUUAAAAAUUUUUAAAAAGAGAGCUUAGCAAGCAUCAUUUAUGAGUGCAAAGUGGAAAGCUCUGGAAACUGUAUUUUGACCCUGAAGGCAAGUCAUACUUAGGAUCAUUAAUAAACAGUCUGGAAGAGGAUGCAGUGGAGAGAAAACACAGCUAGCUGCCUUUUCCUUCCGUAUCUCAGCUGUUGCAUUGCACAUAGGAGGACCUGAGGUACACAGGUUUAUAAAGCACCUCCUGGAUACUGGGAUUUAUUCUAAAUGUAGUGGGGAAAUAGGUGAAAGAAGGGAGGCAGAACCAGCAUUUAUUAAGCACCUAUUAUGUGCUAGAUCAUCGGCGCUGGGGUGGGGGUACACGUCCCCAGUUCAAGAGGCAGUGUGGGAAAAGCGGAACGGUUGUAUUUAGACAUGCUUAGGUUCAAAACUCGGCCAAGCCUACUUUCAUAAUGUUAUCUGAGCCCCGCCUGCUCCCAUUUUAUGGAUGACAGAACUGAGUCUCAGAGAAGAGAAAAUAAUGUGUCUACGGACACAAAGCUUUUAAAUGAUAGAAACCACAUUCAAAACUGGGUCUGCGAGUCUCCCGCUGGUAGAGAAAUUCCGAUUCAACGAACGCCCCUGGGAGCUGAGUUUCCCCACCAAGGAAGGAGGCGUCCACUCACAUUCGCACAUCCUGAGCAGGUUCCACUUUCUCGCAGACCCAUCUCUUUAACCAGCUUCUGCCACUGGCCUUUGCAUCCCGCGCUUUGGGGAUUAUGACUGGCUGCUGGUCCAGGCUGAUCCUCUCUGCUGUUGUUUACUUUAGAGAAAGAAACCACCUCCCGUCCAGAGGGCUUGUGUUUCCAGCUCACUUACAUCUCUUUUGCGAGGGCUCAUUUUCAUGGAUUCCCAGUCUCCAGGGAGCUGUGUCCUUCCCUCAGAAACAUGAGCUGUAAUCAAAGGUGUGUGUAUUCAACCCCACACAUCUGCCAGCAGCCGCACCGGAGCCACAGUUCCCAGAGGCCUGACAGAAGGAGGUUCAGGCCAGGUGCCCCGGGGAGAAUUUUUCCCUACACAAAUCAGAUUGCCCUGUGGUUGCCCUUUGUAAAGAUGGCAGGGUCCCAGGUGGUGCUUCUCCGAUGCUGGAGGACCUGUCGGGGCUGGGGUAAACAGGAUUCCUCUAUCCAUUCAGCAAAUACUUUGAAGGCCACCAUGUGCUGAGAAUUGCAGACACCGAGAACCCAACUCUUUGGUGACUUCCCAACACUCACAGGGGUAAAGACCCAACUUUUUUUUUCCUUUUAUGGCCGCACCUGUGACAUAUAGAAGCUCCCGGGCCAGGGAUUGAAUCCUAGGUGUUACUGCGGCAACCCAGGAUCAUUGAACCCCACUGAGCCAGGCCAGGGAUUUAACCCACGCCUCCACAGUGACCCCACCUGCUGCAGUCGGAUUCUUCACUCACUGGGCCAUGGCAGGAACUCCAAGACCCAACUUCUUAAAGGCCCGCAAGUGCCCGGAAGAGCUGGCUCUUGCUCUUUCUCUGGCCUGCUUGGCCAGGGCCACUCUGGCGGCCAGGUUCCACUGCUUGGUGUCCAGCAUGCCUCCUCUUGCCUCAGCCCCAUCACACUCCCCCUGGCUUUCUUGAGUCUUCCUACCCCUCUUGGCCUGGUUUGCUGCUGCUUGCCUUUCCGAUUGAGCUGCCAUCCUCCCAUCUGCUGUACCUUCAAAUGCCAUAUCUCCUUACCACCAUUGCAUGGGCUUCAGUUGGCACCAUCAUCUCACUGGAGUCUUCCUCUCCAACCCAACUGCAAGGGCAGGGCUCACCUUCUCUCCCUGGCACUGCUCCAUAGUCAGUGCCCAUAAGAGUUGUUGGGAGGGAGUCCCCACCAUGGCGCCACGGGAUCAGUGGCAUUGCUGGAGCACUGGGAUGCAGGUUUGAUCCCCAGCCAGGCACCGUGGGUUAAGGUAGCUACAGCAUAGGUCAAAACUGCAGCUCGACUCAAAUCUGAUCCCUGGCUGGGGAACUCCAUAUGCUGCAGGGCGCCAAAAAAGAAGGAGGGAGAAAAAAAAAAGUUGUUGGGGUAUGUAGAAGCAGAAGUGAGCUAAGUAGACGCUGCCCUGCUCAGUCCUGGGCACUUCUUGGAAUGUUGGUUGAACUUGACAGUUCCGAGGGGGGAAUAUUUGGAGACAAAUACAGAUCAAUUCUAGAGUGGAAUCCAAUGUCCUCGUUACCUCGGGGAGGUUAGGAACGCAGCCUCCUUUGUACUCUUGCAGAGCCCUUGUGGAAGAGUAGCUCGGGGUUGGUUGGAGAGAUGGCCCAGUUUGCCAGCAAUGCUAGUCACGGAGUCCAAGUUUAAGAGGCCGCGUGGGUGGGAAAUGAAAAGACUAUGUUUAGUCAGACCCGAGUGGAAACUUUAGUGCUGGACAUUUUACUCUCAUGACUUGGGGCAAUGCAUUUGAUCCCUCUACGAUUCAGGUUUGUCCUCUGUAAAAUGGGUAUAUGAAUACCUGCUCCCCAGAAUUGCUGUGGGAGAGAGAGGUGAACUAUGUAGAGGGCCCAGCCCAGCACCCAGUGCAGAGCAAGCACUCGGAAGUGGUGCCUUGGUGAUAGCUGUGAUAGAGUGAUAGCUGGUCACUCUUCGAAAUUAAAGGCUGUUGUUGGUGUGCAAAGCGAAACAUUUUCUGGAGCAAAGACAGGCAACUUAAGAUUGCACUUCCAGGGAGUUCCUUUCAUGGCUCAGCACUAACGAUACUAGACAAGUAUCCAUGAGGAUUCGGGUUUGAUCCCUGGCCUCACUCAGUGGGUUAAGGAUCCAGUGUUGCCUUGAGCUGCGGUGUAGAUCGCAGACAUGGCUCAGAUCAUGCAUUGCUGUGGCUGUGGCGUAGGCCAGCAGCUGCAGCUCUGAUUGGACCCCUAGCCUGAGACCUUCCAUAUGCCGCAGGCAUGGCCCUAAAAAAGAAGGAAAAAAAAAAAAAA
rnacentral:lncRNA from 1 species